ensembl:antisense Gm15819 predicted gene 15819
GAAGAAAGCUAAGCCAAAAGGAAGUCAUUCCGGGGGAAGUAGCUGAGCUGAACUUUUAAAACAUCUAAACAAAGAAGCUGUCACCUUGUCUUGAGAGUGCUCCAGGAGAGCUGGUGCAAAGAACAAUAUUGUCCCUGGGGUAUCUCAACGUAAUGUUCCUACUGAGGGCUGCAGAGUAGUAUCCCAACUAACGGUACAUGAUAAAUGAAGAAUUGUUUUCCAACUCAAAACAGAGGCUUGCUUGACCCAGUCUUUCUCAGACACAGUCUACUUAAACAAGGCGUCGCAGGCACAUCCCCGUUGACACUCUCAAUGCCACUGACAGACAUCAAACUUCUGCGCUCCUUCUGAUUUGACUUGUGCUCCACUUUCGUGACUCUGAACCUGAGGACAGAAAAGGGACAUGACGGGACGUCGCUUUUCCAGUUCCAAGCAGGAACUGUAAGUUUAGGGGGAAAAAAAAAAUCGCCUGGAGGAAACC